AUUGAACGCUGGCGGCAUGCUUUACACAUGCAAGUCGAACGGCAGCGCGGGCUUCGGCCUGGCGGCGAGUGGCGAACGGGUGAGUAAUGCAUCGGAACGUGCCCAGUAGUGGGGAAAGGCCGGCCGAAGGCGGAUUAAUAACGCCAAAGACCUGAGGGGGGAAGGGGGGGGCCGGAAAGCCCCCCGCCAUUUGAGCGGCCGAUGUCGGAUUAGCUAGUUGGUGGGGUAAAGGCUUACCAAGGCGACGAUCCGUAGCUGGUCUGAGAGGACGACCAGCCACACUGGGACUGAGACACGGCCCAGACUCCUACGGGAGGCAGCAGUGGGGAAUUUUGGACAAUGGGGGCAACCCUGAUCCAGCCAUGCCGCGUGCGGGAAGAAGGCCUUCGGGUUGUAAACCGCUUUUGUUCGGGAAGAAAUCCUCUGGGCUAAUACCCCGGGGGGAUGACGGUACCGGAAGAAUAAGCACCGGCUAACUACGUG
rnacentral:rRNA from 1 species